rnacentral:rRNA from 1 species
CGGGGGGUGCGAGCGUUGUCCGGAAUCACUGGGCGUAAAGGGCGCGUAGGUGGUCUUGUAAGUUUGCGGUGAAAGCCCGGGGCUCAACCCCGGGUCUGCCGUGGAUACUGCGAGACUUGAGUGCUGUAGAGGCUGGUAGAAUGCCGGGUGUAGCGGUGGAAUGCGUAGAGAUCCGGCAGAAGACCGGUGGCGAAGGCGGCCAGCUGGGCAGCAACUGACACUGGGGCGCGACAGCGUGGGGAGCAAACAGGAUUAGAUACCCUGGUAGCCCACGCCGUAAACGAUGGGCACUAGGUGCUUGGGGGAGCGACCCCCUGAGUGCCGGCGCUAACGCAGGAAGUGCCCCGCCUGGGGAGUACGGCCGCAAGGCUG